GAUCUCUUUGUUCGCUACGUGGACGGCAGAGCGUUGUGAAAUGCGCGUGAAAAAGGUGCCAAAAAAAAGAGGGGAGGGUCAGUCAAGCGAGGGGGGGAAACUAAAGGGCGGAGGCGUUGACGACACGUGUCCUCCCAAUCACAAGUCCUUUCUCAGGUGUUCCGAUAUAUACGUCCACACACGCAGUUAAGUGAAAGUUAAAAAUAAACUGCCUUUUGUUUUAUUUAAUCUUAAGGUAGGCAGAACAAUUCGGCCAGCUGCUAAGAAUAAAAACGUUGGGCCGUAAAAUUGACCGGGGCCGUCAUCGUUUCGACACGCAUCUACUUGAUUUCAUCAUUUGACGGUCACGGGAAAAACGUUCGUCCUUGCCACUUGACGAUUUUGACAAGCUGAACAAUAUAAUAAUGAGGAUGGGCGUUGGCCGCGUUCUUGUUUGCGUACAGCACAUCGUUUGUCUUUUGUCAGACUAUACACGCGGGAUAAUGGCGUUCAAACAGGAACCCAACCGACCAUUAAAUCAACAUUAAAUCAGCGCUCGUGUGUGUGUGCCAUGUUAAUAAAUCUUGAUGAAAUUGAACACCCGGAACUGGAAGCGUUCCAGCGAGAUUGAAACGGAUUUGCGAUCAGGAUGAAAAAAAAAAAGACUUUUUUCAAACCAAGGUCAUCAGAAGGUGAAAGAAACGGAGCAUCGGAUCACGCGGAAGUGUAGAGGAAAUAAUGUAGGUCCCACAAGGGCGUGGUGACCUCCGACGCGGCUAACGUUCACGUUGUUUUCAAGCAUUCUGCAUGUUCGAUUGAAUUGUUUAAACAAUUAACUUGCCCUAGUUUUUUUUGUGUCAAAAUUAUUUCAUUUUUUCAUUUCGGUGGUUGUGGAAAAGAGAUGCCUAUAUCCAACGUGCCAUGCAAAUGAGGGGCAACAGAUUAAUGCAAACUAAUUCAGUCAAUGCAUUUCUUAGUAUAUUAUAAGGAAUGAAACGCUCGGAUUGACUUGC